AAACAGAUGCUAAAUACCCGGGAUAACAACAGAUGAUGCCUAUCAACUGUUUAAAAAGAUGGGUUCUGCUAUCACUCUUGGGAUGGGACCCUGCGGUGCAUUAGCUAGUUGGUAGGGUAACGGGCCUACCAAGGCGAUGAUGCAUAGCCCGAGUUGAGAGACUGAUCGGGCCACAUUGGGGACUGAGACACGGGCCCAAAACUCCUACGGGGAGGCAGCAGUAGGGAAUCUUCCACAAUGGACGCAAGUCUGAUGGAGCAACGCCGCGUGAGUGAAGAAGGGUUUCGGCUACGUAAAGCUCUGUUGUUGGUGAAGAAGGACAGGGGUAGUAACUGACCUUUGUUUGACGGUAAUCAAUUAGAAGUCACGGCUAACUACGUGCCAGCAGCCGCGGUAAU
rnacentral:rRNA from 1 species